ACCUGUUCCGGGCGCUGUGAGCGACGCCCGGGACGACAGAAACACAUGUGCCCAGGGAAGACAUGGGCACUCCAGGGCGUU
rnacentral:sRNA from 1 species